CCCUCGAACGUAUCAUGUUGCGGUGUCGCGGAAGAGAGAGAGAUAGUCGUCAAGUAUUCCGAGCGCAUCGUCUUCCAAGAUUUACGCCAAACUCACAAUCAGCCCUCGAGCAAAGCUACUAACAAAUAGAUGUGCGCGUGAAAUGUGAAGUAACUCUUAUUCGAAUGAAUGUAUGUACGUCGGGGAACAAGAUUCUGUUCAAACGUGUAAUACGUGCGCAUUAAGUAUCAAUUAGACGUAUUGAAAAAUUAAACACAUUGUUAAUCACAUUAAUUUGCAAUCACAUAUACUUUGUCAAUAUAGGAAAGUCUCGUUUUAAUAUAGAGUGAUCCUAUUAGCUAAUAAUGCCCAAGUGAAAGAACAGUAGCAGGAACUAACAUUAGACAGUAAAAAGAAAGGGAAACGAACAGUGUCGUCAUUCCUUUACGAACUGGAGUAAAAAGAAGGAAACAAUGAAGAAAGGAAAAAAUUGCUGUGUAAACAAUGGGAAAGCUUAAUGGAUUUCAUCCUCGGCAAUAAGGAAACUUCGAGUGCAAUUAAUGUGUUACCCUGAGAAGAGGUCCCACAAGUUUUCACCGAGACGAACUCGAAGAAGCGAGAGGAAGGACAACGUUUCCGUCUUUCCUUCAUUUACGAAUUAAUUAAACGUCACGGCAUCAGGGAGGAAAUGAAACGGGCGAUGAGUCGUGGUUUUCUGAACGUGUUGGCAGCCGACCGACGAUAUUUCUGCGAAAUGUCAAGCGGUGACUGCGUGGGUCGCGCGAAAGUAUUCAGUAAUGCGUCUCGUUAAUAUCCCCGACACUAUCGAACCGUAUUAAACUUUCCAAUCAAGAAAUCACGAUAUCGCGCGACGGUGAAAUCGAAACUGUCCACGCGCAAGGUUUUCAUUAGACGUAGCGACGCGCCGAAUUCAAAUGCGAAUGAUAUUUCAAUAUUGUAGUUUAAAGAGAAACUCUUCAUAAGAAAUAAUUAAGAAAUAAUUAAGGUAAUGGUAUUUAUUUGACAAGCUUUGAAGAUUAUUGGAAAAUCACAAUUCCAGAUAAAUCAGUUGCUCAUUAAAGUAUGAAUUAAUUACUGCGGGAACGAGAAGAAGACGAUAUAAAUAAUUAUUUAAGAACGUAUUUGCAAUUGAAGUUAUUUUUUAUCGGUUUAUGUUUAUCACCAAAUAAAUUGUCAUGAUUAUCUAAUAGCAAUGACAAUUUGAAAAUAAUUUAAUAAUUGUUGAAAUAUUGUGCAAUGAAGCAAAACGUAGUAAUUAAUUGAUAAUAGGAUGAUGAUAUCAAUAGUGAGCAUGUAUGUUAAUUCAACUGAAAAUACUUUUUCGUACAAUAAACAGUUCACAAUUCCAUUAGCAUUUGCAUAGUUUGUACAAAUUUAGGUGGCAGAAUUAAACGACUCGGUACAUAUGUAUAUAUGUACGUACGUAUGCAUAUGCAUGCACACGUACGUUUAUAUGCAUACACAUUCAAUCAGCAUCGCUAGCGCCGAACAGUACAUUAGCAGCGCGAUAGUCGAAUACCAAACAUACAUAUAUCCACCUAUGACCUGUGUAGACACAUGAACCAAUAGCCAGCUAAAUGAUGUUUGACAUUACCGUGAAACGUUAGUUUGAGAGUUCAGCCAGUUCGAUCGAAUUUAACUCAGUCUCAUGGUUCCUCAUCCAGAUUCGUUCACAUCCUAAGAUAUCCCCCAAGCUUCCCGGCUUAACCCACCCCCAAUCUACUUUGACAUCUAUUCAAUAACAAUUCAACAAUUUCAUUCUUGAUUUGAAUUAACUACUUAUAUACUACAUAUUAAGUAUUAUAUAAUACAUAUUUC